CAGUCGCCACGGUAAUACGAAGGGGGCUAGCGUUGUUCGGAAUCACUGGGCGUAAAGGGUGCGUAGGCGGAUUCUUAAGUCAGGGGUGAAAUCCCGAGGCUCAACCUCGGAACUGCCUUUGAUACUGGGGAUCUUGAGUCCGGAAGAGGUGAGUGGAACUGCGAGUGUAGAGGUGAAAUUCGUAGAUAUUCGCAAGAACACCGGUGGCGAAGGCGGCUCACUGGUCCGGAACUGACGCUGAGGCACGACAGCGUGGGGAGCAAACAGGAUUAGAUACCCGAGUAGUCCCUGUCUCUUAUAC
rnacentral:rRNA from 1 species